AUUGAACGCUGGCGGCAGGCCUAACACAUGCAAGUCGAACGGUAGCACAGAGAGCUUGCUCUCGGCUGACGAGUGGCGGACGGGUGAGGCAUGUCUGGGAAACUGCCCGAUGGAGGGGGAUCACUACUGGAAACGGUAGCUAAUACCGCAUAACGUCGCAAGACCCAAGAGGGGGACCUCCGGCCCUCUCGCCAUCAGAUGUCCCCAGAUGGGAUUAGCUAGUAGGUGGGGUAACGGCUCACCUAGGCGACGAUCCCUAGCUGGUCUGAGAGGAUGACCAGCCACACUGGAACUGAGACACGGUCCAGACUCCUACGGGAGGCAGCAGUGGGGAAUAUUGCACAAUGGGCGCAAGCCUGAUGCAGCCAUGCCGCGUGUAUGAAGAAGGCCUUCGGGUUGUAAAGUACUUUCAGCGGGGAGGAAGGCGAUAAGGUUAAUAACCUUGUCGAUUGACGUUACCCGCAGAAGAAGCACCGGCUAACUCCGUGCCAGCCGCCGCAGUAA
rnacentral:rRNA from 1 species